GAAGAGUUAGGGUAGAAGUCACAGAGACUUCAUUUUGUAGGCAGCAGAGCCACGCGGGGGCCUCACGCAGGCGUGUGCAUCCGACUGGCCUACAGAAGUGACUGGGACCACUGGUUUGCACUGAUGCAGGGCAGCCUCGCAGGACGCUCUCCCCAGAAGGCUCCUUUCAGGGGUCAAGGACUGCAAGACCUGCAGAGGAAGCACUAGAUAAAUAACAUUCUAGAUUUGAGAAGAAUCCUUCUGCUCUCUGGAAAAGCAGUUCUCUUGACAACGCAGAGAGCGGGACAGAGGAGGACAACCUUGUUUCACCGACUGCCAAGUCUUCUGUUUUUUAAUCACAAAACCACCCCUGUAUGUAAACAACCACAAGCCUAGUGAGCAGAACACCAGUACAUUAAACAUUUACCAAACAGUAGAUCUCAGCACAGUCACCAGCAAGAUGGGACAUCCAUCCCUGUGGUAAGCACUGAGUAGGAGACCUGGCUGCCAAAACACAGACUCUUGGAAGAGUACAACCUUCAGGGGCCUCUUAGGAGCAUCACACAGGUGUUGUUUGGAAGUGUGCCCCCUCUGUCUCACAAACAGGAGGAAGUGCAGGACUCUCCCAAGCACAUACAUACCCACCCCUUAAAAUUCUUAAUCUUCAGAGCUCCCAUGUCAUUGCUCUGGAUUCAAGACAGUCCAGGAAGACCUACUCUCAUGAUCUGCACAACCCUGGUGGACAGGACACACCCAGCCCAGAAGAAGAGCGCCUCUGUGCAGACAUCCACGCCCAGACAACAAAACCUACACAGCUCUAGCCAGAGAGGCCAUGUGACUGUGGCCUGUGGACACUGGGACAAUGCUGAGACAAAGAGAAGACAAAGGGCCAGCGGAGAGGCUUGCCUGAGGACCUGCUGCGACUUCCAUAGGGCUAUGGCCACUGGAUCCCAAAGAUGGGCCAAAGGCGGCUUUGGUGGUGAAAAUACUGUCUUUAUUAUGGUUUCAAGUGAGCUAAAAAUCAUCCUGUUACAACAGAGAUUUCUCAAUACUGA